rnacentral:rRNA from 1 species
GUUAUAUGGUCAAGUGAAGAAGCGCAUACGGUGGAUGCCUUGGCAGUCAGAGGCGAUGAAAGACGUGGUAGCCUGCGAAAAGCUUCGGGGAGUCGGCAAACAGACUUUGAUCCGGAGAUCUCUGAAUGGGGGAACCCACCUAGGAUAACCUAGGUAUCUUGUACUGAAUCCAUAGGUGCAAGAGGCGAACCAGGGGAACUGAAACAUCUAAGUACCCUGAGGAAAAGAAAUCAACCGAGAUUCCCUUAGUAGUGGCGAGCGAACGGGGAUUAGCCCUUAAGCUUCAUUGAUUUUAGCGGAACGCUCUGGAAAGUGCGGCCAUAGUGGGUGAUAGCCCCGUACGCGAAAGGAUCUUUGAAGUGAAAUCGAGUAGGACGGAGCACGAGAAACUUUGUCUGAACAUGGGGGGACCAUCCUCCAAGGCUAAAUACUACUGACUGACCGAUAGUGAACCAGUACCGUGAGGGAAAGGCGAAAAGAACCCCGGAGAGGGGAGUGAAAUAGAACCUGAAACCGUAUGCGUACAAGCAGUGGGAGCCUACUUGUUAGGUGACUGCGUACCUUUUGUAUAAUGGGUCAGCGACUUAUAUUCAGUGGCAAGCUUAACCGUAUAGGGUAGGCGUAGCGAAAGCGAGUCUUAAUAGGGCGUUUAGUCGCUGGGUAUAGACCCGAAACCGGGCGAUCUAUCCAUGAGCAGGUUGAAGGUUAGGUAACACUGACUGGAGGACCGAACCCACUCCCGUUGAAAAGGUAGGGGAUGACUUGUGGAUCGGAGUGAAAGGCUAAUCAAGCUCGGAGAUAGCUGGUUCUCCUCGAAAGCUAUUUAGGUAGCGCCUCAUGUAUCACUCUGGGGGGUAGAGCACUGUUUCGGCUAGGGGGUCAUCCCGACUUACCAAACCGAUGCAAACUCCGAAUACCCAGAAGUGCCGAGCAUGGGAGACACACGGCGGGUGCUAACGUCCGUCGUGAAAAGGGAAACAACCCAGACCGCCAGCUAAGGUCCCAAAGUUGUGGUUAAGUGGUAAACGAUGUGGGAAGGCUUAGACAGCUAGGAGGUUGGCUUAGAAGCAGCCAUCCUUUAAAGAAAGCGUAAUAGCUCACUAGUCGAGUCGGCCUGCGCGGAAGAUGUAACGGGGCUCAAACCACACACCGAAGCUGCGGGUGUCACGNCUAGGGGGUCAUCCCGACUUACCAAACCGAUGCAAACUCCGAAUACCCAGAAGUGCCGAGCAUGGGAGACACACGGCGGGUGCUAACGUCCGUCGUGAAAAGGGAAACAACCCAGACCGCCAGCUAAGGUCCCAAAGUUGUGGUUAAGUGGUAAACGAUGUGGGAAGGCUUAGACAGCUAGGAGGUUGGCUUAGAAGCAGCCAUCCUUUAAAGAAAGCGUAAUAGCUCACUAGUCGAGUCGGCCUGCGCGGAAGAUGUAACGGGGCUCAAACCACACACCGAAGCUGCGGGUGUCACGUAAGUGACGCGGUAGAGGAGCGUUCUGUAAGCCUGUGAAGGUGAGUUGAGAAGCUUGCUGGAGGUAUCAGAAGUGCGAAUGCUGACAUGAGUAACGACAAUGGGUGUGAAAAACACCCACGCCGAAAGACCAAGGGUUCCUGCGCAACGUUAAUCGACGCAGGGUUAGUCGGUUCCUAAGGCGAGGCUGAAAAGCGUAGUCGAUGGGAAACAGGUUAAUAUUCCUGUACUUCUGGUUACUGCGAUGGAGGGACGGAGAAGGCUAGGCCAGCUUGGCGUUGGUUGUCCAAGUUUAAGGUGGUAGGCUGAAAUCUUAGGUAAAUCCGGGGUUUCAAGGCCGAGAGCUGAUGACGAGUCGUCUUUUAGAUGACGAAGUGGUUGAUGCCAUGCUUCCAAGAAAAGGGGUGAAGGAUUUACUCCGUAAGCUCUGGCUGGUCGAAGAUACCAGGCCGCUGCGACUGUUUAUUAAAAACACAGCACUCUGCAAACACGAAAGUGGACGUAUAGGGUGUGACGCCUGCCCGGUGCCGGAAGGUUAAUUGAUGGGGUUAGCGCAAGCGAAGCUCUUGAUCGAAGCCCCGGUAAACGGCGGCCGUAACUAUAACGGUCCUAAGGUAGCGAAAUUCCUUGUCGGGUAAGUUCCGACCUGCACGAAUGGCGUAACGAUGGCGGCGCUGUCUCCACCCGAGACUCAGUGAAAUUGAAAUCGCUGUGAAGAUGCAGUGUAUCCGCGGCUAGACGGAAAGACCCCGUGAACCUUUACUGUAGCUUUGCACUGGACUUUGAGCCUGCUUGUGUAGGAUAGGUGGGAGGCUUUGAAGCGUGGACGCCAGUUCGCGUGGAGCCAUCCUUGAAAUACCACCCUGGCAUGCUUGAGGUUCUAACUCUGGUCCGUAAUCCGGAUCGAGGACAGUGUAUGGUGGGCAGUUUGACUGGGGCGGUCUCCUCCUAAAGAGUAACGGAGGAGUACGAAGGUGCGCUCAGACCGGUCGGAAAUCGGUCGCAGAGUAUAAAGGCAAAAGCGCGCUUGACUGCGAGACAGACACGUCGAGCAGGUACGAAAGUAGGUCUUAGUGAUCCGGUGGUUCUGUAUGGAAGGGCCAUCGCUCAACGGAUAAAAGGUACUCCGGGGAUAACAGGCUGAUACCGCCCAAGAGUUCAUAUCGACGGCGGUGUUUGGCACCUCGAUGUCGGCUCAUCACAUCCUGGGGCUGAAGCCGGUCCCAAGGGUAUGGCUGUUCGCCAUUUAAAGUGGUACGCGAGCUGGGUUUAGAACGUCGUGAGACAGUUCGGUCCCUAUCUGCCGUGGACGUUUGAGAUUUGAGAGGGGCUGCUCCUAGUACGAGAGGACCGGAGUGGACGAACCUCUGGUGUUCCGGUUGUCACGCCAGUGGCAUUGCCGGGUAGCUAUGUUCGGAAAAGAUAACCGCUGAAAGCAUCUAAGCGGGAAACUUGCCUCAAGAUGAGAUCUCACUGGGAACUUGAUUCCCCUGAAGGGCCGUCGAAGACUACGACGUUGAUAGGCUGGGUGUGUAAGCGUUGUGAGGCGUUGAGCUAACCAGUACUAAUUGCCCGUGAGGCUUGACCAUAUAACACCCAAACA